rnacentral:rRNA from 1 species
CCCGCACAAGCGGUGGAGCAUGUGGUUUAAUUCGACGCGGCGCGAAGAACCUUACCUGGGCUAAAUGCCCCUGACAACCCUAAGAUAGGGCCUUCUGGGUAAAACCAGACAGGGUGCAAGGUGCUGCAUGGCUGUCGUCAGCUCUGUCCUGAGAUGUUGGGUUAAGUCCCGCAACGAGCGCAACCCUUAUCAAUAUUGCCGGCGGUUCGCCGGGCACUCUAUUGAGACUGCCGUUGAAAAAACCGAAGAAGUGGGGAUGACUCAUCCUCAUGGCCUUUAUGUCCAGGCUACACACGUGCUACAAUGGCAAGUACAAAGCCUGCAAAAGAACAAUCUGGAACCAAUCCCAAAAGCUUGUCUCAGUUCCGAUUGGAGUCUGC